GCAUUGCUGAAGAGUUUCACAAUAGAACGAAACUGCUGUCCAGUGC
rfam:Schistosoma margrebowiei strain Zambia genome assembly, scaffold: SMRZ_scaffold0000109